UGCCUACGGGGCGCAGCAGGGAAUAUUGGGCAAUGGGCGCAAGCCUGACCCAGCAACGCCGCGUGAAGGAAGAAGGCUUUCGGGUUGUAAACUUCUUUUGUCAGGGACGAAGCAAGUGACGGUACCUGACGAAUAAGCCACGGCUAACUACGUGCCAGCAGCCGCGGUAAUACGUAGGUGGCAAGCGUUAUCCGGAUUUACUGGGUGUAAAGGGCGUGUAGGCGGAACUGCAAGUCAGAUGUGAAAACCACGGGCUCAACCUGUGGCCUGCAUUUGAAACUGUAGUUCUUGAGUACUGGAGAGGC
rnacentral:rRNA from 1 species